AAUUUUCAUUGUCACUCCAGAGCCAAAAGCCCUAUCUUCAUAACAGGAUUCAGGAUAGGAGUAUUUCUAGCUCCAGAUAAGUGGGAUUUUACACCAAAAAUCCUUGGCCCUGUCUUACAAUUCAUGCCAGGGGUAAGAAACCCUGAAGCUUUCAAUUACAGUACUGUGUUCAAAUCUGAGCAUGGUAGCGCAUGCCUAGAGUCCCAACAGUGUGGGAGGCUGAGGCAGAAGGACCGCAAGUUCAACGCAGCUUGGGCAAGUUGACAAUUUAGAACUUGUCUCAACAUAAAAAGGCCUUUGGACGCAGCUCAAUGUGAAAGGGCUAAAUUCAAUCUACAAUACAAUAGCUACAAUCUUAAGCAUACCACAAACUCAUUUACUCAACAAAUCAUCAAAGUGCCCACCAACUGCUGGGCUCAGCUUUACUCGCUAGGAAAAGAGUGAAUCCAUGUCCUGAAAGGUCGUUUCCCGAUUUUCAGGUCAGCCAUAUCUACGCAGCCCAGUUGGAAACCUCCCCUUCCUUGUUUCCCACAUUGCCCUGCGCUUCUCGCGGGAUAAAGCGCGCCCCGCCUCACUCCGGCCCUCCAGCCUCACUUCCGGUCGGCCGCUCUUUCCUUCUGUUUCUCUGUGGUACGUGGAUAGCGGUUGCCCCGCUGCCGGGAGUAGUUCGCUGGGUUGGUUUAGUUCGCUGAGAGUUGAAGUGAGGUGUCCAGCAUUGUGUGAGAUCACCAUGCACCAUCCAAAGCUCCAUCCCAGUUCACCUUCCCCAGUGGAGUGUCACCUGUGUUAAUGCCCCCGACAACCCCUGAAGUAGGGACUCACUUGAUUUGUGAGGAAGUAUAUGCAGAGAAAAGUGACGUGAACUUGUCCCAGAACUCAAGAGUCAUAAAACAGUAGAGUGGAGAUUCCAACUCCAGGCACUCUCUGACUCCACCACAACCUACUGCUGGCUCUAUCCAUUAGUGUUGGCGACAGGUCAAUCAGGAACAACCAUGUCAUCAGAAUCAAGCUAGAAACGGAAGCCCAAAGUGAUCCGAGGUGAACGGGCUCCAGUUGAAGGAAAGCGGAAUCGAUCUGACACUGAGCAGGAUCUAAGCUACCCAGUCUGCUCUCCAACUUGUGAUCCUCCUGCCUCAGCUUCGUGAGUAGCUGGGAU